ACGGGUGAGUAACGCGUGGGAACGUACCUUUUGGUUCGGAACAACUGAGGGAAACUUCAGCUAAUACCGGAUAAGCCCUUACGGGGAAAGAUUUAUCGCCGAAAGAUCGGCCCGCGUCUGAUUAGCUAGUUGGUGAGGUAAUGGCUCACCAAGGCGACGAUCAGUAGCUGGUCUGAGAGGAUGAUCAGCCACAUUGGGACUGAGACACGGCCCAAACUCCUACGGGAGGCAGCAGUGGGGAAUAUUGGACAAUGGGCGAAAGCCUGAUCCAGCCAUGCCGCGUGAGUGAUGAAGGCCCUAGGGUUGUAAAGCUCUUUUGUGCGGGAAGAUAAUGACGGUACCGCAAGAAUAAGCCCCGGCUAACUUCGUGCCAGCAGCCGCGGUAAUACGAAGGGGGCUAGCGUUGCUCGGAAUCACUGGGCGUAAAGGGUGCGUAGGCGGGUUCUUAAGUCAGAGGUGAAAUCCUGGAGCUCAACUCCAGAACUGCCUUUGAUACUGAGAGUCUUGAGUAUGACAGAGGUGAGUGGAACUGCGAGUGUAGAGGUGAAAUUCGUAGA
rnacentral:rRNA from 2 species